UCUGGUCCCUAGUGUCGUCUGCCUCUCGGGUCCCUAGUGUCGUCUGCCUCUGGUCCUGCGUCGCUCCCUCCCUAGUGUCGUCUGCCUCUCGGGUCCCUAGUGUCGUCUGCCUCGGGUCCUAGGUCGUCUCUGCCUCCGGUCCCUAGUGUCGUCUGCCUCUCGGGUCCCUAGUGUCGUCUGCCUCUGCGGUCCCUAGUGUCGUCUGCCUCUCGGGUCCUAGUGUCGUCUGCCUCUCGGGUCCCUCGUGUCGUCUGCUCUCGGGCCUAGUGUCGUCUGCUCUCGGGUCCCUAGUGUCGUCUGCCUCUCGGGUCCCUGUGUCGUCUGCCUCUCGGGUCCCUAGUGUCGUGCCUCUCGGGUCCCUAGUGUCGUCUGCCCCUCGGGUCUCCCUCGUGUCGUCUGCCCUCGGGUCCCUAGUGUCGUCUGCCCCUCGGGUCCCUAGUGUCGUCUGCCCCUCGGGUCCUAGUGUCGUCUGCCCCUCGGGUUCCCUAGUGUCGUCUGCCCCUGGGUCCCUAGUGUCGUCUGCCCCUCGCGGUCCCUAGUGUCGUCUGCCCCUCGGGUCCCUAGUGUCGUCUGCCCCUCGGGUCCCUAGUGUCGUCUGCCCCUCGGGUCCCUAGUGUCGUCUGCCCCUCGGGUCCCUAGUGUCGGUCCGUAGUGUCGUGUUUCUGCGACCCCUAAUACAUUAGUCCAUGUUUUGAUUUCUUCCCGUUUCUCCCUGCCCUCCAGAUGCCAAAGCUACCUCCACCUGCCAGUCCAGUUCAGCCGGUUGUAACUGGCAACCACUCCAGCCUGCUGUUGGUUCAGACGGAUACCAGUGGAAACAUCGCUAUCCAGCUGACUGGUGGCCCUGCCCUGAUGACCAAGAGGACUGCUGCUCUGGGUCAGUGAGGACUGCUGCUCUGGGUCAGUGAGGACUGCGUCUCGGGUCUGAGGACUGCUGGGUCACUGCAUCUGUAGUGUGGCUGUACUGGAGCACUGAUGGUCAUAUGGAAGAAUGAACUAUGAAGCCUUUGUCCAAUAUGGCACCCUAAUCCCUAGUAGUGCACUGCUUCAGGCCCGGCAACGUCCCAACGUCUCAUUGGUUCCACUCCGCAACUUCCCAACGUCUCAUUGGUUCCACUCCUGGCAACGUCCCAACGUCUCAUUGGUACCACUCCUGGCAACGUCCCAACGUCUCAUUGGUUCCACUCCUGGCAACGUCCCAACGUCUCAUUCAUAUAUCCUAUCCUCUGGGGGUCUGCAUAGAGCUAGCAGACUACAGCUCUAUAUCCUAUUCUCUGGGAGUCUGCAUGGAGCAGACUACAGCUCUAUAGCCUAUCCUCUGGGGGUCUGCAUAGAGCUAGCAGACUACAGCUCUAUAGCCUAUCCUCUGGGGGUUGACAUGCAGCAGAAUACAGCUCUAAAGCCUAUCCUCUGGGGUCUGCAUAGAGCUAGCAGACUACAGCUCUAUCCUAUUCUCUGGGAGUUGCAUAGAGCAGACUAACGCUCUAUAACCUAUCCUCUGGGGGUUGACAUGGAGCAGACUACAGCUCUAUAACCUAUCUCUG
rnacentral:lncRNA from 1 species